CAUGGCCAGGGUGAAGCGAGGGUAACGCCUCGUGAAGGCCCGCACCGGUGUCCAUUGAAAAGGGCUCGGAUGAACUGUGGGUAGCGGUGAAAUGCCAAUCGAACGCGGAGAUAGCUGGUUCUCCCCGAAAUGCAUAUAGGUGCAGCCUCGGGAAGAGCGUGUCGGAGGUAGAGCACUGAAUGGGCUAGGGGCCAUACCCGGUUACCAAACCCAACCAAACUCCGAAUGCCGGCACGUAUGCCCGGGAGUGAGACGGCGGGGGAUAAGCUUCGUCGUCGAAAGGGAAACAGCCCAGACCGCCGGCUAAGGUCCCAAAAGCAGGCUUAGUGGGAAAGGAAGUGCUUUGGCACAGACAACCAGGAGGUUGGCUUAGAAGCAGCCACCCUUUAAAGAGUGCGUAACAGCUUACUGGUCGAUGUCAGGGCGCGCCGACAAUGUAACGGGGCUAUGCCUGCUACCGAAGCUGCGGAUGUGGAAACACAUGGUAGGGGAGCGUCGCGUGUGCGGUGAAGCAUGAGGGUAACCCCGUGUGGAGCGCACGCGAGAGCGAAUGCCGGUAUGAGUAGCGAGAAGGGCAGUGAGAAUCUGCCCCGCCGAAAGCCUAAGGGUUCUUAAGGAAGGUUCGUCCCCUUGAGUUUAGCCGGGCCUAAGGUGAGGCCGAAAGGCGUAGCCGAUGGACAGCUGGUUUAUAUUCCAGCGCCACCGGAUGAUGAUUGAGCGAGGGGGGGACGUCCUCGCAAGCGCUGAGCCCGGGACUGGAAGACCGGGUUCUCCUGUAGGGAGUGAGCGCAGGUAAAACCGUGCUCAACAUACUCCUGGCAGGAGACGAACCAACCCGCAAGGGGCGGUGAAGCGGUGGGAGCGAGGGCCAAGAAAAGCCCCUAGUGAGUCAUCUGGUGACCGUACCGCAAACCGACACAGGUAGGCGAGGAGAAGAUCCUCAGGCGUGCGAGAGAACCCUCGUUAAGGAACUCGGCAAUCUCACCCCGUAACUUCGGGAGAAGGGGUGCCCUGGCUGGACAGGAUUGAAACAUCCUGGAUUGGCUGGGGUUGCAACAAAGAGGCUCGAGCGACUGUUUAACAAAAACACAGGUCUCUGCAAAGCCGAAAGGCGACGUAUAGGGGCUGACACCUGCCCAACGCCAGAAGGUUAAAAGGAGGGGUUAGGCGCAAGCCGAAGCUCUGAAUUGAAGCCCUGGUGAGUGGCGGCCGUAACUAUAACGGUCCUAAGGUAGCGAAAUUCCUUGUCGGGUAAGUU
rnacentral:rRNA from 1 species